AAGCGCUUGCGCCUGAUGGACGUCGACCGGCGCACGGGUGAGUAACGCGUAUCCAACCUGCCCCACACUAAGGGAUAACCCGCAGAAAUGUGGACUAAUACCUUAUAUUUUCCACCAAGGGCAUCGUCGAUGGAACAAAGAUUUAUCGGUAUGGGAUGGGGAUGCGUCCGAUUAGGUUGUUGGCGGGGUAACGGCCCACCAAGCCUUCGAUCGGUAGGGGUUCUGAGAGGAAGGUCCCCCACAUAGGAACUGAGACACGGUCCUAACUCCUACGGGAGGCAGCAGUGAGGAAUAUUGGUCAAUGGGCGUGAGCCUGAACCAGCCAAGUAGCGUGCAGGAAGACGGCCCUAUGGGUUGUAAACUGCUUUUAUGCGGGGAUAAAGGAGUCCACGUGUGGAUUUUUGCAGGUACCGCAUGAAUAAGGACCGGCUAAUUCCGUGCCAGCCGCCGCGGUAAAAGGG
rnacentral:rRNA from 1 species